UUUUAAUGUAAGAGACUCAUCUCAGGGAUCAGAAACAUAGUCCCGGCCAGCAACUUGCUCCUUGUUGAAACAGAACAGAACAGAAGCAAGCAACAAGAACACAACAAUGAUGGAUUGUCAGGCUAAUUUUGUGUUGAAAGUAAAUUUCUGCACGGACCUGGAGGCAGGAAGAGGUCACACCUGGCCCUGUGUCUACUGUACUCUAGGUGUGGAGCUACUGUCAGUCACAGGCACACCUUGGCCAAAUUACACACAGAUAAAAGCAGAUCUAGUGGGAAACCAAGAUACAUUAGCUCCUGGAGAUGGAAGGCCCUGAGACAUCAUACAACUCCAUCAGAGUCCCUCAGCCUGAACACACCCACUGACCUGCACUGAACCAAUGGGAACUUGAAUGACUGUGUGUUGGAUUAUGAUGAGGAUUGUAGUGGUCAGUAAGGCAAUGAACACUAUUCUGACUAAUACCGGCUUUGAAAGAUAAUGUAUUGCUGACACAUGGGGGGUCUUAGUAGGAGCUAAGCAUGGAAGUCUAAAUAAAUGUUUUAAAUAUGGUAUUCUUGAAGUUAGA
rnacentral:lncRNA from 1 species